UACGAAGGGUGCAAGCGUUACUCGGAACUACUGGGCGUAAAGCGUGCGUAGGCGGUUUGUUAAGUCCGUUGUGAAAGCCCUGGGCUCAACCUGGGAAUUGCAGUGGAUACUGGCGAGCUAGAGUGCGGUAGAGGAUGGUGGAAUUCCCGGUGUAGCGGUGAAAUGCGUAGAGACCGGGAGGAACACCCGUGGCGAAGGCGGCCAUCUGGACCAGCACUGACGCUGAGGCACGAAAGCGUGGGGAGCAAACAGGG
rnacentral:rRNA from 1 species